rnacentral:rRNA from 1 species
AUUGAACGCUGGCGGCAUGCUUUACACAUGCAAGUCGAACGGCAGCGGGGAGGAGCUUGCUUCUCUGCCGGCGAGUGGCGAACGGGUGAGUAAUACAUCGGAACGUGUCGAGAAGAGGGGGAUAACCACCCGAAAGGGUGGCUAAUACCGCAUAAAUUCUGAGGAAGAAAGCUGGGGACCUAGGAAUAGGCCUAGCGCUUUUUGAGCGGCCGAUGUCGGAUUAGCUAGUUGGUGAGGUAAAGGCUCACCAAGGCGAAGAUCUGUAGCGGGUCUGAGAGGAUGAUCCGCCACACUGGAACUGAGACACGGCCCAGACUCCUACGGGAGGCAGCAGUGGGGAAUUUUGGACAAUGGGGGCAACCCUGAUCCAGCCAUGCCGCGUGUAUGAAGAAGGCCUUAGGGUUGUAAAGUACUUUUGUUAGGGAAGAAAAGUCAGCUGUGAAUAAUGGCUGAUACUGACGGUACCUAAAGAAUAAGCACCGGCUAACUACGUG